rnacentral:rRNA from 1 species
AAGUCGUGACAAGGUUUCCGUAGGUGAACCUGCGGAAGGAUCAUUAAUGAAACUUCAAAGUCGGCCCUUCUGUGCUGGUGGAAACACAUGUGCACGUCUGGUCGCAAAUCCACACACCUGUGCAUCUAUGACUCGAGGUUGUAAUGACCAAGAGUACUUUUACACACUCUGAAUGUAAUAGAAUGUCUAUGUGCAAUAAUGUACAAAUAAACAACUUUCAACAACGGAUCUCUUGGCUCUCGCAUCGAUGAAGAACGUAGCGAAAUGCGAUAAGUAAUGUGAAUUGCAGAAUUCAGUGAAUCAUCGAAUCUUUGAACGCACCUUGCACCCUUUGGUAUUCCGAAGGGUACGCCCGUUUGAGUGUCAUUGUAAUCUCACUUCAACAACUUUUGUUGUUUGAAUGUGGACUUGGACGUUGCGGUGUCAUUACCGCUCGUCUUAAAUGCCUGAGUGUACCCUGUUUUGCAGCGUAUCCGGUGUAAUAAACAUUUCACCAGAGUUGGUCGCAAGACCGCGAUGUAGAGUGGGCUCUAUGCUUUCGAACCGUCUUUGGACAAACUUAACUGACAAUUUGACCUCAAAUCGGGUGGGACUACCCGCUGAACUUAAGCAUAUCAAUAAGCGGAGGAAAAGAAACUAACAAGGAUCCCCUAGUAACGGCGAGUGAAGAGGGAAAAGCUCAAAUUUUGAAUCUGGUGUCUUUGACUCCCGAGUUGUAAUCUAGAGAAGUGUUUUCCGUGUCGGACCGUGUACAAGUUCCCUGGAACGGGGCGUCAUAGAGGGUGAGAAUCCCGUAUAUGCCACGGACUACCGAUGCUCUGUGAUACACUCUCAACGAGUCGAGUUGUUUGGGAAUGCAGCUCAAAAUGGGUGGUAAAUUCCAUCUAAAGCUAAAUAUUGGCGAGAGACCGAUAGCGAACAAGUACCGUGAGGGAAAGAUGAAAAGCACUUUGGAAAGAGAGUGAAACAGUACGUGAAAUUGUUGAAAGGGAAGCGUUUGAAGUCAGUCGCAUCUGUUGGGAUUCUGCCUUGCUUCUGCCUGGUGUAUUUCCUUUCCGAUGGGUCAGCAUCAGUUCAGACCGAGGGAAAAAGACAUUGGGAAUGUGGCUGUCUUCGGGCAGUGUUAUAGCCUGGUGUUGUAUGUCUCGGUUGGGACUGAGGAACGCAGCGCGCCAUAAAUGGCCGGGGGUCGCUCCUCUCGACACGCGCUUAGGAUGCUGGCAUAAUGGCUUUAAGCGACC